UACGUAGGGACCGAGCGUUGUCCGGAAUCAUUGGGCGUAAAGAGCGUGUAGGCGGCCUGUUAAGUCUUGCGUGAAAUCUCGGGGCUCAACCCCGAGCGGUCGUGAGAAACUGGCAGGCUAGAGUGCGGGAGAGGAGAGUGGAAUUCCUGGUGUAGCGGUGAAAUGCGCAGAUAUCAGGAAGAACACCCGUGGCUAAGGCGGCUCUCUAGUACGGUACUGACGCUGAGACGCGAAAGCGUGGGGAGCGAACAGG
rnacentral:rRNA from 1 species